UGGGUGGGUAACUGGAGAUCGAGAACUCCGCAAAAGCAAAGAGCACUCACUACUAGAAAUUACAUAUUUAACGACGAUGUAUUAGCGAUGACAUCAAAAUUAUGUCGUUAAAAGCAAUAGCUCGUAAUCAAUUACGACUAAUGGGUAAGUACGUCGUCAUUGUUCCACAAAAAGAAAAAUAAGAAAAAGAAAAUAAAAAAUGUUCAUCGUUAUUUCCAAUUUAUUCAACGCGCCUCUACCCUAAAAGUUUAUAACCCUCUAAUUGAACUCGUCUAGGUUUUCCCGAUUCUCAAAAAUUGACCCUCUCCCUCUAUCUCUGCAAAGAUGAAGUUGGGUGAUGGAUUUUUUUUAAUACAACCACAUUCAAUAAUUACCAACAAGCUGUUGUUGAAGUGCCGCCGCCAGCAGAACUCGUAGCAGCUCAGCCGUCGUCGUCUAAGCAGCAGCGGAAUAAACGCAAUCGGAAUACAUUCACCUCCGCCUUGGUUCCGGCGGCGCCGGUGUCUAACCACCGAAGGAUGUGGGUGGUGGACCGAUUAAAAGAUUGGUGGGAGAAAUGCAGUCACCCGGAUUACCCAGACGAAGAAUUCAAAAAAUCGUUUCGUAUGAGCAAGGCUACAUUCGAAAUGCUGUGCGAAGAGUUCCGCAAUUUGUUCAUAAUUUGGAUGUCGAUCUCUCUUAUUCUCAACGUGAAUCAUCUAGAACUAGUUCAACUGCAAGCAGGAAGCUUCCAAAGGAUCUCUUAUUUUAUUUGGUGUUACAGAUCAUAGCAUUAUUUCUAUUCAGAAAAACCUAAUUUCGCCAGCAAGCUAUAUUAAUGGACCUCGUUCUUAAUCUGUUAGGUAUUUUAAGUUAUGCUUGAUUGUGUCUCUUACUCUAACUCUGCUAUGCCAUAAUGAAUUAUAUAUUAAUGGGACAGUCUUCUGUUGAUGAUAGAGCAGAAUAAGCGAGUAUAUUAAUGGGACAGUCUUCUGUUGAUAUGCCAAAUUAAGUUAUGCUUGAUUGUAGUUUUAUUCAUUGGAAUCUAUUUGCAGUUUAUUCUCUAUACAUGAAAUGUCUCAUACUUAAUAUUUUUAUUGUCUUUUUAUUUUUCUAAUGUACAUUUUCUUAGUUUUAACUACUCUGUAGUGGAAAUCUAUUAGCUUACUUAUAAAUUAGCAGAUUCUUAUAUGUUCACCAUUCUCCUUUGUCAUAAAAAAACGAUCUGCAAUUCUCCUUCCUUCUAUUGUCAUUUCCGCUAGCUUAAAUGAAGCAUACCUUGAUAUAACUGAGGUCUGCAGAGAAAGAGAUGUGAGAAGUGAUGAUGUUGCUGGUGAGAUCAGAAGAGGUGUUUUUGAAGAAACUGGUUUGACAUGUAGUGCUGGUGUGGCUCCUAAUCGAUUACUGGCUAAGGUUUGCUCAGAUAUAAACAAGCCAAAUGGACAAUUUAUUUUGCCAAAUGAUCGAUUGGCUGUGAUGACAUUCAUAUCCUCCCUCCCGAUAAGAAAGAUUGGAGGCAUUGGCAAGGUUACCGAGCAUAUCCUAAGGAAUACUUUUGAAAGAAAUACACGCAAGGAUUUGCUUGAGAAAGGAAGUUUUCUCUGUGCCUUGUUUUCUCCUUCAUCUGCAGGUCACUGAUUACCUUGUGGUUUUUCUUAUCUUUGAAUCUUUAUAGUCGUAUCAUUAACUCUCUUAUGAAUGAUUUAGCUGUGUGGUAGCCAAGCUUUUUCAGAGGUCUCUUAUGUAUUCUUCUUGUGCCAUUGUAUAAUACAAGAGUGUGCUUCUUGAGCUUACUAGUGUUCAGGCUCGAAGGAGAGGGAAGCGAGCUACAGAGUUGGGAAAAAGGUGGAAGAUCUCCUGGCUGAUCAAGAUAAGAAUGGACAGAAUACUCUGCUGAACUUUGUGGAGGAACUCAUAUAUCUAAUUUAAGAGAAGCCAAGGCAUUUGCUCUUUUAUCUUAGCAGGGGAUUGCCAAAGGAAUUCGUAGAGUGACUGUUGUUACGUCUGAGGUUGCGUUGAAUGCAAUUAAUUUGGCAUGCUCCCUCGAGCAACAAUUGAUUGAUGCAUCAAACAUAGAUGCAAGCGUGCUGGAGAAAGUUAGUUUGGGAUAUUGUUCUUUUUUUUCUUCAACACUAGCAAUUUUAGUGAUUACAGCUUGUAGAUGACUGACUUAUUAGUUUGGUUGUUUUGACUCACAUUGAAUUUGUUUAUUAUAAAUUUUUUGUGAUUGAUUACGUUUAAUU